AACGAACGCUGGCGGCGUGCCUAACACAUGCAAGUCGAGCGGGAAAGCCCGCAAGGGUGAGUACAGCGGCGCACGGGUGCGUAACACGUGGGUAAUCUGCCCAGAAGCCCGGAAUAACCUUCCGAAAGGAAAGCUAAUACCGGAUGAGACCACGGGGACCUCGGUUCCCGCGGGAAAAGGUGGCCUCUGCAUGCAAGCUAUCACUUCUGGAUGAGCCCGCGGCCCAUCAGCUCGUUGGCGGGGUAAUGGCCCACCAAGGCUACGACGGGUAGCUGGUCUGCGAGGACGAUCAGCCACACUGGAACUGGGACACGGUCCAGACUCCUACGGGAGGCAGCAGUGGGGAAUCUUGCGCAAUGGGCGAAAGCCUGACGCAGCAACGCCGCGUGUGUGAUGAAGGUCUUCGGAUCGUAAAGCACUGUCGGGAGGGACGAAUAAGGGCCGGGUGAACAAUCCGGUCUGAUGACGGUACCUCCAAAGGAAGCACCGGCUAACUCUGUGCCAGCCGCCGCCGUAAUAC
rnacentral:rRNA from 1 species